rnacentral:rRNA from 1 species
AACGUAGGAGACGAGCGUUAUCCGGAUUUACUGGGCGUAAAGCGCGUGCAGGCGGUUUAUUAAGUCACUUGUGAGAGCGCCCGGCUCAACUGGGCGAGGCCGUGUGAGACUGAUAGACUUGAGAGAGGUAGAGGCGAAUGGAAUUCCGGGUGGAGUGGUGAAAUGCGUAGAGAUCCGGAGGAACACCAGUGGCGAAGGCGAUUCGCUGGGCCUUCUCUGACGCUCAGACGCGACAGCAUGGGGAGCGAACGGG